UUCACAGAAUGGAUGAGUUUGAGAUAGAUGAGCUAUUAGGUCUAGCACCACCUCCACCUCCACCUCCACUUCCACCCGAUCAGUUGAGGCAGACCAUUAGGAGGAAUAUUGAUUCUUUGAUUAGAGAUAUCCAUACCAUUAGACGUGAGCCUCAUCCACCUCUGCAGCCAUUACGCCUUGCAGAUAGUAUGCAAGGGAUUGUACAGUUUGUACAGGCUUUAGAUAGUGAGCUGGAUAGCUAUCGUAGUUGGCAGGAGGGAUUGCGUGCAUUUUACGCUGAUGGCCUAACAUACAAACAAGUCAAUGAAUUAAAAAUAACAAAAAUGGAUUUGAAACAAUAUUUUGUGAACCCUAAGACGAGAGAAGAGAUAGAUCCGAAGAAGCCACGAAUCUCAAUUCAAUGGUGUAGGCACCCAUGCAUAGCUAGACACUCCACACUCCAAUCAUGAGUUCUCGAUGUAUUUUUUGAAAAAAAUAUGGGCCGAAUUUGAAUUGGGUAAAAAGCCCAAUUACUUUGAUAUUAGAUCAUUUCAGAGGGUCGGGAGAGGCAUGCCCUAGGAUAGGUCGGGGGCCAAAUUGAGCAACAGAGUCAGAAACCGUGUGCGCGAUGAUCCCUUGGUUCCUCUUCCUGCACCAGUUGUUCCAGCACCUGCCCAUCAUCGAGCAGUGGAUUCUACUCUUGGUUCAUUGAGUGCCUUGUUGGGCAAUUUGGUACAACAGUUGCGCGAGGUGAGGGCUGCCCCCAGCUUAGCACAUGUUUGCACGAGCUGCGAGAAUGUAUGUACGGGUCCACAGAGUGAGGCUACCCCUGGAGGAGAUGGUGAUUUUGAUGAUGCUGAUGCUGCCCAUGGUGGUUAUGAUGAUGUCCAGGGGGCUGCACAUGCUGAUGUCGUCUCUUCAUAUGUUGAUCUCGUGUGGGCAGACGAUGAUCAUCUUAUAGAGAGGGUGGAUCAUACCAUGUCAUUGAGGAACUGACACUGUGUUACCUCGAUACCUAGAGAUGUUGGUGCCCCAUUUACAGGUGCUUCGUGUAGCACCGAGGUGGGUAGUUCUUCACGUGACCCGUCGACCGCUGAGGCUCAACCUCAUAUACCACUAGCUUCUGGAUUGUUUGAUGGUGCAUCACAUGUACGCCUUCACCCAUCAGUUACUUUGCCUGCACAUGACACACCAUAUGUCGAUACCACUACCAGUAUUGGUAUGGCUAUGGGAUUGAGCCAGAUGCAACCAUCGACAUUGUCAUUUGUGGACUUGACUACAACCACUUUUCUUGUUCAUGAUAGUGGACCUCCAUGUACCAGUGAGGGCAUUGUAGAGCAUGGUCGUAUGGAGGGUGGAGACACCGAUACUGCACACACACAUGAUGGUGCAUCUCAGGACCAUGUGCAACAUGAUGAUUCAUCUCAGCCACCUUCACGUGGAGUGAAGAGGACUACAGAUGAGAUGCACGCGAGUUCUUAGAUUAUAUAUUUUAGAUCAUGUCAUGUUAUUGUAUUAUGGACUGUUUAUGAUGACACUUGUUAUGUUAUCCCGGGACUUGUUAUUAUGUGAUUAUAUAUAGGACUUCUUGUUAUUUGAUUAUAUAUAGGACUUUUUAUUACGUCAUUUCGUUGCUAUUAUGAUAUA